AGCCGCAUUUCGUGCUAAGGUAGCAUAAUCAUUUGUCUUUUAAUUGAAGACUAGAAUAAAAGAUUUAACAUUUCAGUUAAUUUAUAUGUCUUUAAAUAUAAAAAUUCUCUUAAAUGUAAAAAGACAUUUAUAUAAAAGAAAGACGACAAGACCCUAUUGAACUUAACUUUAGUUAAACUGGGGCAGUAAAUUAAUUAUUAUUUUAAUAUAAUUGUAGAUCUAUAUAUCUAUAUAAAUAAAUAAUUCAGUUACCAUAGGGAUAACAGCGUAAUUAUAUUUUAUGAGACCUUAUCUAAAAAUUAGAUUGCGACCUCGAUGUUGAAUUAAUAACCUAAUUAAACAAAAUUCGAAAUAGGAAGUCUGUUCGACUUUAAAAAAAUUACAUGAUUUGAGUUCAGACCGGUAUAAGCCAGGUCGGUUUCCAUCUUCUUAAAAGUUCCUUACAGUACGAAAGGGCCCAAGGAUAUUUUAUAUUAAUAUAGCAGAAAUAAUGCAUUAGAAUUAGAAUCUAAAAAAGAAUAA
rnacentral:rRNA from 1 species